rnacentral:rRNA from 1 species
AACAAAUUUAUUUAAAAGCAAUGAAAGGAUGCCUUGGGUAAAAAAGAGGAUGAAAGACGUGACAGGCUGCGAAAAGUCUCGAUGAGGUGCCAAUAACCGCUUGGAGUCGAGAAUAUCUGAAUGGGGAAACCUAGCUGCUAUAAGCGGCUGCCGAAAUGGCCAGUACCUGGUGAAGUGAAAUAUCUCAGUAACCAGAGGAAAAGAAAUCGUAAUGAGAUUCUCUUAGUAGUGACGAGCGAACAGGGAAAAGUCCAAACCGCAUUAGAUUCGUCUAAUGACGGGGUUGUAGGAAGAUACAUAUGGAGUUACAAGUUAUUGUUAGUAGAAGUACUUAAAAGGUACACCACAGAGGGUUUAAGUCCCGUAUAUAAAAAUGAUGACUACUUCGUAUCUCUCCUGAGUAGUGUCGGACACGAGAAAUCCGGCAUGAAUCCGCCCAGACCUUUGGGUAAGACUAAAUACUUUUUUACACCGAUAGCGUAUAGUACCGUGAGGGAAAGGUGAAAAGAACCCCUGGUAGGGGAGUGAAAUAGAUUCUGAAAUUCAUUGCUUACAAUUGAGUGGGAGCCUUAGGGUGACCACGUACCUAUUGACGAAUGGGUCAGCGAGUUAAUGGUGCUAGCAAGGUUAAGUCAGUUAUAGACGGAGCCGUAGGGAAACCGAGUCUGAAUAGGGCGAUUUAGUUAGUAUUAUUAGACCCGAAGCGUUAUGAGCUAGGCAUGGGCAGGUUGAAGAGUUGGGAAACUGACUUGGAGGACCGAACGGGUUGGAGCUGCAAAUCCUUCCGAUGACCUGUGUCU